rfam:Pseudomonas sp. 1 R 17 genome assembly PSEFL294_LIB5394, contig: PSEFL294_LIB5394_000069
CCGCGCCCGCUGCUUGAGGGUUAAGGCCCUCUUGCCUGUGCGCCAAAUCUGGUCGAGCCGCUGACCUCUGGGUCACCGCCAUGCGCACAAUAGAAACCGCCGGUCUAAAGCGUCCGCGUAGGUCUCGCGCAGUUUCCAAGCUGAUCGGCACUGCCUUCGGUUUGGCGAUGUAGAUAGCUCGACAGGUCG